rnacentral:rRNA from 1 species
AUGUAAGGUAAUGCCUACAAUGUUAAUUCAUUGGAUCCCAUUAGGACUCUGCAGUUAAGCGUGCUUGGGCUAGAGUAGUAUUGGAUUGGUGAACUCUCGGGAAUUCCUAGUGUUUUACAUG